rnacentral:rRNA from 1 species
AGAGUUUGAUCCUGGCUCAGGACGAACGCUUGCGGCGUGCCUAAGAAAUGCAAGUCGAGCGAGGUCGAGGCUUCGGCCAAAGGCCUAGCGGCGAACGGUCGCGUAACACGUAAGCAACCUGCCCUAAAGACGGGGAUAGCCCACCGAAAGGUGGAUUAAUACCGGAUGUGAACACUUAUUCGCAUGUAUAAGUGUUUAAAGCAGCAAUGCGCUUUAGGAUGGGCUUGCGGCCUAUCAGUUAGUUGGUGUGGUAACGGCUCACCAAGACGACGACGGGUAGCCGGUCUGAGAGGAUGACCGGCCGGAUCGGGACUGAGAUACGGCCCGGACUCCUACGGGGGGCAGCAAUUAGGAAUCUUGCGCAAUGGGCGAAAGCCUGACGCAGCGACGCCGCGUGACUGAUGAAGUCCUUCGGGAUGUAAAAGUCUUUUCUCGGUGAAGAAGGAUGUGACUGUAGCCGAGGAAUAAGCUCCGGCUAACUACGUGCCAGCAGCCGCGGUAAUACGUAGGGAGCGAGCGUUGUCCGAAUUUACUGGGCGUAAAGCGCGCGUAGGCGGAUUAUUAGGUCGGUGGUGAAAUCCCGAGGCUCAACCUCGGAACUGCCGUCGAAACCGAUAGUCUGGAGGUAUGGAGAGGAAAUCGGAAUUCCGGGUGUAGCGGUGAAAUGCGUAGAUAUCCGGAGGAAUACCGAUGGCGAAGGCAGAUUUCUGGCCAUAUCCUGACGCUGAGGUGCGAAAGCUAAGGUAGCGAACGGGAUUAGAUACCCCGGUAGUCUUAGCCGUAAACGAUGGAUACUAGGUGUUAAAGGUAUCGACCCCUUUAGUGCCGAAGCUAACGCAUUAAGUAUCCCGCCUGGGGAGUACGAUCGCAAGAUUGAAACUCAAAGGAAUUGACGGGGGCCCGCACAAGCGGUGGAGCAUGUGGUUUAAUACGUCACUAACCGUAGAACCUUACCCGGGAUUGACAUCCGGGGGAUCUUGCU